UGGAGAUGUAGCUCAGUGGCAGAACAUUUGCCUAGUAAGCAUAAGGUCCUGGGUUCAAUCCCCAGCGCCCCAA